rnacentral:rRNA from 1 species
AACGAACGCUGGCGGCAUGCCUAACACAUGCAAGUCGAACGAGACCUUCGGGUCUAGUUGCGCACGGGUGCGUAACGCGUGGGAACCUGCCCUUAGGUUCGGAAUAACUCCCCGAAAGGGGGGCCAAUACCGGAUAAUGUCUUCGGACCAAAGAUUGAUCGCCUUUGGAUGGGCCCGCGUUGGUUUGGCUUGUUGGUAGGGUAAAAGCCUACCAAGGCGACGAUCCAUAGCUGGUCUGAGAGGAUGAUCAGCCACACUGGGACUGGGACACGGCCCAGACUCCUACGGGAGGCAGGAGUGGGGAAUCUUGGACAAUGGGGGGAAGGCUGAUCCAGCAAUGCCGGGUGAGUGAUGAAGGCCUUAGGGUUGUAAAGCUCUUUUACCCGGGAUGAUAAUGACAGUACCGGGAGAAUAAGCUCCGGCUAACUCCGUG